UACGUAGGGGGCUAGCGUUGUCCGGAAUCAUUGGGCGUAAAGCGCGCGUAGGCGGCCCAGUAAGUCCGUUGUAAAAGUCAAAGGCUCAACCUUUGAAAGCCGAUGGAUACUGCUGAGCUAGAGUCCGGAAGAGGCGAGUGGAAUUCCUGGUGUAGCGGUGGAAUGCGCAGAUAUCAGGAGGAACACCGAUAGCGAAGGCAGCUCGCUGGGACGGUACUGACGCUGAGGCGCGAAAGCGUGGGGAGCGAACAGG
rnacentral:rRNA from 1 species